GGUCCGAGGUGGAAGCGUGGCGACACGUGGAGCUGACGGAUACUAAUCGAUCGAGGACUUAACCAAG
rnacentral:rRNA from 1 species